rnacentral:rRNA from 1 species
UACAGGAGGGGCAAGCGUUAUUCGGAAUUAUUGGGCGUAAAGGGCGCGUAGGCGGCUUGGCAAGUGGAUGGUGAAAUCCCUCGGCUUAAGCCGACGGAAGCUGCCGUCCAAACUGACUUCGCUUGAGACCGGGAGAGGUAGAGUGGAAUUCCCAGUGUAGCGGUAGAAAUGCGUAGAUAGUUGGGGAGGAACACCAGUGGCGAAGGCGGCUCACGUGGACCGGUACUGACGCUGAUGACGCGAAAGCGGUGGGGAGCAAACGGG